GAAAGAGGAGGCAAGCGGUAUCCGGAAUUAUUGGGCGUAAAGCGUCCGUAGGUGGUUUGACAAGUCUGGGGUUAAAGCCCGGAGCCCAACUCCGGAUCGGCCCUGGAAACUGUCAGACUUGAGUAAGGUAGGGGUUGCGGGAAUUCCCGGUGUAGCGGUGAAAUGCGUAGAUAUCGGGAAGAACACCAGCGGCGAAAGCGCGCAACUGGGCCAUUACUGACACUGAGGGACGAAAGCUAGGUGAGCGAAUGGG
rnacentral:rRNA from 1 species